UACGUAGGGUGCGAGCGUUAAUCGGAAUUACUGGGCGUAAAGCGUGCGCAGGCGGUUUUGUAAGCCAGAUGUGAAAUCCCCGGGCUUAACCUGGGAAUGGCAUUUGGGACUGCAAGGCUCGAGUGCGGCAGAGGAGACUGGAAUUCCUGGUGUAGCGGUGGAAUGCGCAGAUAUCAGGAGGAACACCGAUGGCGAAGGCAGGUCUCUGGGCCGCAACUGACGCUGAGGAGCGAAAGCAUGGGGAGCAAACAGG
rnacentral:rRNA from 1 species